UACAGAGGGGGCAAGCGUUAUUCGGAAUUAUUGGGCGUAAAGGGCGCGUAGGCGGCUUGGCAAGUGGAUGGUGAAAUCCCUCGGCUUAAACCGAGGAACUGCCGUCCAAACUGCUUCGCUUGAGACCGGGAGAGGUGAGUGGAAUUCCCAGUGUAGCGGUGAAAUGCGUAGAUAUUGGGAGGAACACCAGUGGCGAAGGCGGCUCUCUGGUACGUGACUGACGCUGAGACGCGAAAGCGUGGGAGCAA
rnacentral:rRNA from 1 species